rnacentral:rRNA from 1 species
UGGGAUGACGUCAAAUCAUCAUGCCCUUUAUGUCCUGGGCUACACACGUGCUACAAUGGCCGUGUACAGAGGGAAGCGAAAGGGUGACCUGGAGCGAAUCCCAAAAAGCAGGUCUCAGUUCGGAUUGCAGGCUGCAACCCGCCUGCAUGAAGUCGGAAUCGCUAGUAAUCGCAGGUCAGCAUACUCGUGGUCCGAAUACGUUCCCGGGCCUU